rnacentral:lncRNA from 1 species
CAAUCAUUUUGUUAUUAACCCUUAUAAGGAGUUAUUCCCCUUGAAAAAUUGUGUACAAUUUUAGAAAAAUUGUAUUUCCAGAACCGGAAGUCGUAGAGACUUGGGACCUUCACCAAAAAUCUUUAAUUCAUGUGACCUUUAAUAUGCACCCAAGGUCAAAGGUCACAGAGUGCAAAAUAAAAUUACGCUGCAAUUUCAAGAUUACAUAUUAGGAAAACGAUAAGACUUUGCUGCAUACAUACAGCGUAUAAAUUGUUCCUCUCCACGAGCUCUACAUUUUAUAUAAUAAGCCCAAAAAUGUCCGACCGUCUGUUCAAAAGUUACAACGGGAUGAUUCUUAAAAGUAUAGUAUUUUGUGUAUAUCUUUUUAAAGGUAACAGAUAUCAACCUACUAUAAACUGCAAAGAUGAUCAGUAAUUCAAAACCUUCAAUUUGAGGUCAAUGUCAGGUCAUGAUGAAAUUUCACCUUGAACUUCACAUUAUACUAUGACCUUGACCUUGUGAUAUUUGAAAGGUCAAGUGGUCCUGAGUUGAAUGGUGAUAGUCCCAUGUCUCUACGACUUCCGGUUCUCAAGUUUGGUAUUGCAUCAUAUAUUUGAUGAUUAAUUGUGACCUUGGUGAACUUUGAAAUUGUCCCAAUUCUUUUUCUAUAAUGUUGUCCUUUAACUGUAGAUCAUUUACCAUUUAACAGAUUUGAGAUAUCUAUUGUCGUUUUAGAGAUAAUGCAGUUUGAAAUUUUGCGAGCGGCGGCAUGUAUUUCUGAAUCAACAACAUCUUACCACUUAAAAUGUUUAAGAAAUUGAAGAGGUUAACAUAGUUAUAUGUUUGACCAAAUACCAAAAACAUUCCAUUGAAAAAAAACCACCCAAAAAAUCAUUUUGAAAUUUUCAUGUUUUGCAUUGACUUUGUAAGUUUCAUAACUUCUAUUUAUAUCGUUGAUAUUGCAUCAUUUUUGGCACUUUGUCAAAUGGGGUCAUCUGAUAUAUCAAAUUGUAGGUCUCAAUAAAUUCUACUUAAAAAUUAAAAAUUUAAACCUCUUUUUCAUCCCAGGUGGACGGGUGGGGUCAUUUAGUGCAAAAAUUCAAAUUUCUCAGAUGGUAAGGUUGUCGCAUAUCAAAUGAAAGAACAUAAAGCGUACAUUUCAAAUUUCAAAUUGACGUUCCCCAAAAAUUGAUUGGAUGGGGUCAUUGAGUGCAAAAAAUAAAUUUUCUUUUACGAUAGGGUUGUUGUAUAUCAAAUGAAAGGUCGUGAUGUGUACAUUUGAAAUAUCAAAUUCCCGACCUCCAAAAAUUAGUUGGAUGGGGUUAUUAAGUGCAAAAAUCAAACUUUCUAGAACAUGGCGUUGUCGCAUAUCAAAUGAAAGCUCAUCUACCCUGUGUUACAUAUAUCAUACUUCCGGUCUCAAAAAUGUAGGCGGAUGAGGUCAUUAAGUGUAAAAAGCGAAAAGUUUCAGAAGGUAUGCUUGUCGUAUAUGAAACGAAAGGUCAUACAAAGUACAUUACGAAAACAUCACUUUUACAGGAAAGACCUUUCAAUUUUCAAUUGUUUUACAAACAAUUGAGAUACUAGUUGUUUUUAUUUU